AGUGAACGCUGGCGGUAGGCCUAACACAUGCAAGUCGAACGGCAGCACAGUAAGAGCUUGCUCUUACGGGUGGCGAGUGGCGGACGGGUGAGGAAUACAUCGGAAUCUACUUUUUCGUGGGGGAUAACGUAGGGAAACUUACGCUAAUACCGCAUACGACCUACGGGUGAAAGCAGGGGAUCUUCGGACCUUGCGCGAUUGAAUGAGCCGAUGUCGGAUUAGCUAGUUGGCGGGGUAAAGGCCCACCAAGGCGACGAUCCGUAGCUGGUCUGAGAGGAUGAUCAGCCACACUGGAACUGAGACACGGUCCAGACUCCUACGGGAGGCAGCAGUGGGGAAUAUUGGACAAUGGGCGCAAGCCUGAUCCAGCCAUACCGCGUGGGUGAAGAAGGCCUUCUGGUUGUAAAGCCCUUUUGUUGGGAAAGAAGAGCAGCAGGUUAAUACCCCGCUGUUCUGACGGUACCCAAAGAAUAAGCACCGGCUAACUUCGCG
rnacentral:rRNA from 1 species